rnacentral:misc_RNA from 1 species
GAUGAAGAACUUAGCGAAAUGCGAUAAGUAGUGUGAAUUGCAGAAUUCAGUGAAUCAUCGAAUCUUUGAACGCACAUUGCGCCCUUUGGUAUUCCUUAGGGCAUGCCUGUUCGAGCGUCAUUUAAACCUUCAAGCUAAGCUUGGUGUUGGGUGACUGUCCGCUUCACGGCGGACUCGCCUCAAAAUUAUUGGCGGCCGGUACAUUGGCUUCGAGCGCAGCAGAAACGCGAACUCAGGCCCGUCGUAUUGGCUCCCAGAAGCUAUCUUCACAAUUUUGACCUCGGAUCAGGUAGGGAUACCCGCUGAACUUAAGCAUAUCAAUAAGCGGAGGA